GUAGAGGAUGCUUCUAGGCAGCGGCCGGUCUAAGUUUCUUGGAACAGGACGUCAUAGAGGGUGAGAAUCCCGUAUGUGACCGGUUGGCACCUUAUACGUAGCUCCUUCGACGAGUCGAGUUGUUUGGGAAUGCAGCUCUAAAUGGGAGGUAAAUUUCUUCUAAAGCUAAAUACCGGCCAGAGACCGAUAGCGCACAAGUAGAGUGAUCGAAAGAUGAAAAGUACUUUGGAAAGAGAGUUAAAAAGCACGUGAAAUUGUUAAAAGGGAAGCGCUUGCAACCAGACUUGUCGGCGGUGUUCCGCCGGUCUUCUGACCGGUCUAUUCGCCGCCUACAGGCCAGCGUCGUCUGGUGCCGCCGGAUAAAGGCUUUGGGAAUGUAGCUCCUCGGAGUGUUAUAGCUCAUUGCACAAUACGGCGCGCGCCGGGCGAGGUCCGCGCUUCGGCAAGGACGCUGGCGUAAUGGUCGUAAGCGGCCCGUCUUGAAACACGGACCAAGGAGUCGAUCAAUUGUGCGAGUGUUCGGGUGAAAAACCCUUGCGCGUAAUGAAAGUGAACGGAGGCGAGAACCGUAAGGUGCAUCGUCGACCGAUCCUGAUGUCUUCGGAUGGAUUUGAGUAAGAGCAUAGCUGAUCGGACCCGAAAGAUGGUGAACUAUGCCUAAAUAGAAUGAAACCAGGGGAAACCCUGGCGGAAGUUCGCAGCGGUUCUGACGUGCAAAUCGAUCGUCAAAUUUGGGUAUAGGGGCGAAAGACUAAUCGAACCAUUAACUACUAGGUGGUUAAGAGGGCCGCCC
rnacentral:rRNA from 1 species